rnacentral:rRNA from 1 species
GACGAACGCUGGCGGCGUGCUUAACACAUGCAAGUCGAGCGGUAAGGCCCUUUCGGGGGUACACGAGCGGCGAACGGGUGAGUAACACGUGGGUGACCUGCCCUCAGCUCUGGGAUAAGCCCGGGAAACUGGGUCUAAUACCGGAUAUGACUCCAUGACGCAUGUUGUGGGGUGGAAAGCCUUGUGCGGCUGAGGAUGGGCCCGCGGCCUAUCAGCUUGUUGGUGGGGUGAUGGCCACCAAGGCGACGACGGGUAGCCGGCCUGAGAGGGCGACCGGCCACACUGGGACUGAGAUACGGCCCAGACUCCUACGGGAGGCAGCAGUGGGGAAUCUUGCGCAAUGGGCGAAAGCCUGACGCAGCGACGCCGCGUGAGGGAUGACGGCCUCGGUUGUAACC